rnacentral:misc_RNA from 1 species
UAGUACAACCGAGGUGCGAGGGCUGUCGCUGACCUUCAAAGGGGUUGUGCACGCCCAAGCAUUCUCACACACAAUCCAUCCUCACCCCUUUGUGCAUCACCGCGCGGGCCACCUUUGCAAGGAGGGCUUGCGUUUUCACACGAAAACUUGAUACUGUGUAGAAUGUUUUUCUUUUUGCGGUCACACGCAAUCAAUA